rnacentral:rRNA from 1 species
AUUGAACGCUGGCGGAAUGCUUUACACAUGCAAGUCGAACGGCAGCACGGACUUCGGUCUGGUGGCGAGUGGCGAACGGGUGAGUAAUGUAUCGGAACGUGCCCAGUCGUGGGGAUAACGUAGUGAAAAUUACGCUAAUACCGCAUACGAUCUAUGGAUGAAAGCGGGGGAUCGCAAGACCUCGCGCGGUUGGAGCGUCCGAUAUCAGAUUAGGUAGUUGGUGGGGUAAAGGCCCACCAAGCCAACGAUCUGUAGCUGGUCUGAGAGGACGACCAGCCACACUGGAACUGAGACACGGUCCAGACUCCUACGGGAGGCAGCAGUGGGGAAUUUUGGACAAUGGGCGAAAGCCUGAUCCAGCCAUUCCGCGUGCAGGAUGAAGGCCCUCGGGUUGUAAACUGCUUUUGUACAGAACGAAAAGGUUUCUACUAAUACUAGGAGCUCAUGACGGUGCUGUAAGAAUAAGCACCGGCUAACUACGUGCCAGCCGCCGCCGUAA